rnacentral:rRNA from 1 species
GACGAACGCUGGCGGCGUGCUUAACACAUGCAAGUCGAACGGAAAGGCCCUGCUUUUGUGGGGUGCUCGAGUGGCGAACGGGUGAGUAACACGUGAGUAACCUGCCCUUGACUUUGGGAUAACUUCAGGAAACUGGGGCUAAUACCGGAUAGGAUCUCCUGCUGCAUGGUGGGGGUUGGAAAGUUUCGGCGGUUGGGGAUGGACUCGCGGCUUAUCAGCUUGUUGGUGGGGUAGUGGCUUACCAAGGCUUUGACGGGUAGCCGGCCUGAGAGGGUGACCGGCGAAAUUGGGACUGAGAUACGGACCAGACGCCUACGGGAGGCAGCAGUGGGGAAUAUUGCACAAUGGGAGGAAGCCUGAUGCAGCAACGCAGCGUGCGGGAUGACGGCCUUCGGGUUGUAAACCGCUUUCGCCUGUGACGAAGCGUGAGUGACGGUAAUGGGUAAAGAAGCACCGGCUAACUACGUG